UACGUAGGGGGCAAGCGUCGUCCGGAAUUAUUGGGCGUAAAGAGCGUGUAGGCGGCCAGAUAAGUCCGCUGUGAAAUCUCGAGGCUCAACUUCGAGCUGUCGGUGGAAACUAUCUGGCUAGAGUCCGGAAGAGGAGAAUGGAAUUCCUGGUGUAGCGGUGAAAUGCGCAGAUAUCAGGAGGAACACCGGUGGCGAAGGCGGGUCUCUGGGCCGAUACUGACGCUGAGGAGCGAAAGCGUGGGGAGCGAACAGG
rnacentral:rRNA from 1 species